CAAUAGCGUAUAUUAAAGUUGUUGCAGUUAAAAAGCUCGUAGUUGAAUUUUUGCUUGCCGCCGAUGUCGGAACUUCCGUACGUUCGGCGGCGUGCAUCCUUGGGUGGAACCUGUGUGGCAUUAGGUUGUCGUGCAGGGGAUGCUCAUCGUUUACUGUGAAAAAAUUAGAGUGUUCAAAGCAGGCUUACGUCGUUGAAUAUAUUAGCAUGGAAUAAUAAGAUAGGACCUUGGUACUAUUUUGUUGGUUUGCGCACCGAGGUAAUGAUUAACAGGGACAGUUGGGGGUAUUCGUAUUCCAUUGUCAGAGGUGAAAUUCUUGGAUUUCUGGAAGACGAACUACUGCGAAAGCAUUUACCAAGGAUGUUUUCAUUAA
rnacentral:rRNA from 1 species